CCUUUUUUUUUAAUAAAAAAAUUGCAUUUCGUUCCUAAAGGCUAAAGCAUCGAGAUGGACUUAAUGUGUACCCUUUGUAUACCCAAUCCCCACGUCUGAAAUUAGAAAAAUAGCAUAAUUAUUAAGUAAGCAAAUUCCGCACAUAAAAUAUGUUUGAGUGAGAGGGGUUUGUGUUUGACACAAGUCUACCACAGAUAACACUCGUCUGGCAAAAGUGUCCAUGCUUCCUAGCUUUGAAAUUUUGGUUGAGCGACUUCAGAAACCUGAACCUAUAGAUGAAAGCAUUAUAGCAAUGAAUCUGCUAAAUCUGGUGUCUGAUGACUCUUUUUUUGAUGGAUUUGAUGUGGUGUCUAUAAUUGAGAAAGAUACUGGGUCCUGCUAGGGGUAUUAGGACCAACCAUGGGCCGGAGGCAAGUGAAUGCAUGCUUGAGCAACCUAUUCUGUUACCUGCCAGCUGUCAAGAUCAAUGACAUAACUGCAAUGCUCUCUUUCCAAUAAUCAUGAUAUUAUUCCUUUUCUGAAUGUGGGUUCAUACCAACUCGAACCUUGAUCUUGAAAAUGGAAUUUACUACACAAUUCCACCCAGACAAGAAAAGCUAGUAAUAUCAAGAUAUUCUUCUGGAAAGUUGUUUUUAAUAAUGUGUUGAUUUCCAUAUUAAUGCAUAUUAUGAUUAUAAAAAAAAAUAAAAAAUAAAAAAAAUGUGAUUCCUUGGAUGUCCCUAGAAGUGUCUAUGCACACACGUCUCUCGCUUCUUGCUCUAUUUAUUCUUUAACAUGAUGUAUUACCGAAUUUGCAUCAGCAUCCUAGUUUGACUAUUCGGUGCUAUUUAUGACCAGUAUCAUUUCUAAUUCUCUAUGUAGGCUGAUCAGUCGGGAACAAUAGUUGAGAUCCUUGCAGAAGAUGGCAAGCCUGUCAGUGUUGACACCCCUCUCUUUGUCAUCAAACCAUAGAGCAGAAUGGAGUGAAAAGCGGUACUUAGAAAUUUGUUUGUCUCAGAAUUGUUUUGAGACCAGCAUUAAACGUUUACUCGCAGGUACCGGUGCUUUUGCAUGGAUGAGAAUUUAGUUAAAAAUCGAAUUGUACUCGCUUUGAAUAAUUUGCUUUCUAUUGUUGUCUUAGAGUUAUUUGUCUCUUCAAAUUAUCUUGUGUGGAUAAGACUGCUGUAUUUUUAUUAUGAAUUAUUCUAGUUGUACAAUCCCGGUUGACAAUGAAUUCACAAGAGGAGGGACUCAUGAUUUUUUUAUUCAAUGUGCCUCUCAUGUGUGUGAUUGUCAACCGGGAUUGUCAAUCCCGUUUGUUCAUGUAGUAUAACUGUUUUAUUAUUAUGGUUAUCUUACUUUCUAUAUGAGGAUUUGGUUCCAAUUUUGUAAGGUGAAAAUUCAAUGCACUAUGUAAUUAAUGUUCA